CUGCAGUGAUGACUAUCUUAGGACACCUUUGGAUUUAUCAUGAAAACACCAGUUCACUCUGAGCAGU